UACGUAGGGUGCGAGCGUUGUCCGGAAUUAUUGGGCGUAAAGAGCUCGUAGGCGGUUUGUCGCGUCGACUGUGAAAACCCGAGGCUUAACCUCGGGCCUGCAGUCGAUACGGGCAGACUAGAGUUCGGUAGGGGAGACUGGAAUUCCUGGUGUAGCGGUGAAAUGCGCAGAUAUCAGGAGGAACACCGGUGGCGAAGGCGGUCUGCUGGGCAGUUGCUGACACUGAGGCGCGACAGCGUGGGGAGCAAACAGG
rnacentral:rRNA from 1 species